UACGUAGGGGGCUAGCGUUGUCCGGAAUCAUUGGGCGUAAAGCGCGCGUAGGCGGCCCGGUAAGUCCGCUGUAAAAGUCCAGGGCUCAACCCUGGAACGCCGGUGGAUACUGUCGGGCUAGAGUCCGGAAGAGGCGAGUGGAAUUCCUGGUGCAGCGGUGGAAUGCGCAGAUAUCAGGAGGAACACCAAUGGCGAAGGCAGCUCACUGGGACGGUAUUGACGCUGAGACGCGAAAGCGUGGGGAGCGAACAGG
rnacentral:rRNA from 1 species